rnacentral:lncRNA from 1 species
UACAUCGCAGGCGAUGCACAAAGAAUUUCUCUAGCUUUCAGUCCACUUCUUUGUAAUCCUCUCCCUUCCCUCUUUCUUAUCCUAGCAUUUAGUAUUUUUUUUCUUUAUUUUCUUCUUUUCACGUUAUUGUUAUAAUUUGAACCUUUUACACCUGCUUGAUUAAAUAAUCUAAGAAUAAAAAAAAAAAAAAUCCUAGCACUUGUCCAUUUGGUGGUGGACGUGUAGUUGGCCCAAACAGCUUUCCAGAAAGGUUGGGCUUGAAAUAGGAGCGUGCUUGUUAAAACAGGCCAGGCUCGAGUUUAGUUCAGCUGAGCCCAAGCUCGGUCCAACUCAAGACUGGUUUUGGCAACUAAAAGAGAAUGUUAAUAGCUUUCUUCUGUGCACCAACCCUCAUUAACAACAAUAAACACACAAGUUCAUGGGUCUGAUUUAUCCUUUUCAAAUAAUUAAUCUUUGCGUGUAUUUUUUAAUCUUUAAACUAAAAAAGGGAGUCUACGAAGUUCAAGGACUGGCCUGAGGUCCGGUUCAAAAGCCUGGAGUCUAAGAAAGUACCAAGAUCGGAUCUGGUAAGUAGGCCUCAAGGCCGGGCUGGGUUGAGUUUAGGCCUAACU